rnacentral:snRNA from 1 species
AUCGUUUCUCAGCCUUUUGGCUAAGAUCAAGUGUAGAAAAAAAUAAUUUUUCAUUUUCCACUGGAAGUGAGAAUUUUACCUAAGAUACUAAAAGUUGGCCUUGGCUCAGUGCCCAUAGCACACUGGUUAUGGUGCCAGCCACAU